AAACAUGCAAGUCGAGCGGUAGCACAGAGAGCUUGCUCUCGGGUGACGAGCGGCGGACGGGUGAGUAAUGUCUGGGAAACUGCCUGAUGGAGGGGGAUAACUACUGGAAACGGUAGCUAAUACCGCAUAAUGUCGCAAGACCAAAGUGGGGGACCUUCGGGCCUCAUGCCAUCAGAUGUGCCCAGAUGGGAUUAGCUAGUAGGUGGGGUAACGGCUCACCUAGGCGACGAUCCCUAGCUGGUCUGAGAGGAUGACCAGCCACACUGGAACUGAGACACGGUCCAGACUCCUACGGGAGGCAGCAGUGGGGAAUAUUGCACAAUGGGCGCAAGCCUGAUGCAGCCAUGCCGCGUGUGUGAAGAAGGCCUUCGGGUUGUAAAGCACUUUCAGCGGGGAGGAAGGCGGUGAGGUUAAUAACCUUGUCCGAUUGACGUUACCCGCAGAAGAAGCACCGGCUAACUCCGUGCCAGCAGCCGCGGUAAUACGGAGGGUGCAAGCGUUAAUCGGAAUUACUGGGCGUAAAGCGCACGCAGGCGGUCUGUCAAGUCGGAUGUGAAAUCCCCGGGCUCAACCUGGGAACUGCAUUCGAAACUGGCAGGCUAGAGUCUUGUAGAGGGGGGUAGAAUUCCAGGUGUAGCGGUGAAAUGCGUAGAGAUCUGGAGGAAUACCGGUGGCGAAGGCGGCCCCCUGGACAAAGACUGACGCUCAGGUGCGAAAGCGUGGGGAGCAAACAGGAUUAGAUACCCUGGUAGUCCACGCCGUAAACGAUGUCGAUUUGGAGGUUGUGCCCUUGAGGCGUGGCUUCCGGAGCUAACGCGUUAAAUCGACCGCCUGGGGAGUACGGCCGCAAGGUUAAAACUCAAAUGAAUUGACGGGGGCCCGCACAAGCGGUGGAGCAUGUGGUUUAAUUCGAUGCAACGCGAAGAACCUUACCUGGUCUUGACAUCCACAGAACUUUCCAGAGAUGGAUUGGUGCCUUCGGGAACUGUGAGACAGGUGCUGCAUGGCUGUCGUCAGCUCGUGUUGUGAAAUGUUGGGUUAAGUCCCGCAACGAGCGCAACCCUUAUCCUUUGUUGCCAGCGGUUCGGCCGGGAACUCAAAGGAGACUGCCAGUGAUAAACUGGAGGAAGGUGGGGAUGACGUCAAGUCAUCAUGGCCCUUACGACCAGGGCUACACACGUGCUACAAUGGCAUAUACAAAGAGAAGCGACCUCGCGAGAGCAAGCGGACCUCAUAAAGUAUGUCGUAGUCCGGAUUGGAGUCUGCAACUCGACUCCAUGAAGUCGGAAUCGCUAGUAAUCGUAGAUCAGAAUGCUACGGUGAAUACGUUCCCGGGCCUUGUACACACCGCCCGUCACACCAUGGGAGUGGGUUGCAAAAGAAGUAGGUAGCUUAACCUACGGGA
rnacentral:rRNA from 1 species